ACACAUGCAAGUCGAACGAAGCACUUUAUUUGAUUUCCUUCGGGACUGAUUAUUUUGUGACUGAGUGGCGGACGGGUGAGUAACGCGUGGGUAACCUGCCUUGUACAGGGGGAUAACAGUUGGAAACGGCUGCUAAUACCGCAUAAGCGCACGGCAUCGCAUGAUGCAGUGUGAAAAACUCCGGUGGUAUAAGAUGGACCCGCGUUGGAUUAGCUAGUUGGUGAGGUAACGGCCCACCAAGGCGACGAUCCAUAGCCGACCUGAGAGGGUGACCGGCCACAUUGGGACUGAGACACGGCCCAAACUCCUACGGGAGGCAGCAGUGGGGAAUAUUGCACAAUGGGCGAAAGCCUGAUGCAGCGACGCCGCGUGAGCGAAGAAGUAUUUCGGUAUGUAAAGCUCUAUCAGCAGGGAAGAUAAUGACGGUACCUGACUAAGAAGCACCGGCUAAAUACGUGCCAGCAGCCGCGGUAAUACGUAUGGUGCAAGCGUUAUCCGGAUUUACUGGGUGUAAAGGGAGCGCAGGCGGUGCGGCAAGUCUGAUGUGAAAGCCCGGGGCUCAACCCCGGU
rnacentral:rRNA from 1 species